UACGGAGGGUGCAGAGCGUUCGAUCCGAAUCGUUGGCGUAAAGGGCGCGUAGGUGGCCCGGUCAGUCCGUGGUGAAAGCGCGGGGCUCAACCCCGCGUCGGCCAUGGAUACUGCUGGGCUGGAGCACUGUAGAGGCAGGCGGAAUUCCGGGUGUAGCGGUGGAAUGCGUAGAGAUCCGGAAGAACACCGGUGGCGAAGGCGGCCUGCUGGGCAGUUGCUGACACUGAGGCGCGAAAGCGUGGGGAGCAAACAGG
rnacentral:rRNA from 1 species